rnacentral:rRNA from 1 species
GAUGAACGCUGGCGGCGUGCUUAACACAUGCAAGUCGAACGGUGAAAGAGGAGCUUGCUCCUCUGGAUCAGUGGCGAACGGGUGAGUAACACGUGAGUAACCUGCCCUUGACUCUGGGAUAAGCACUGGAAACGGUGUCUAAUACCGGAUACGAGCUUCAGCCGCAUGGCUAGGAGCUGGAAAGAAUUUCGGUCAAGGAUGGACUCGCGGCCUAUCAGCUAGUUGGUGAGGUAAUGGCCCACCAAGGCGACGACGGUAGCCGGCCUGAGAGGGUGACCGGCCACACUGGGACUGAGACACGGCCCAGACUCCUACGGGAGGCAGCAGUGGGGAAUAUUGCACAAUGGGCGCAAGCCUGAUGCAGCAACGCCGCGUGAGGGACGACGGCCU